UGUGGGGUGGGAAGGAAGCGUGCUGAAUGGAAAGGGGGAAAGGGAAAUUUGGGCUCAAGCCAUCCCAGACCAGAGCCAUGUUCCUUGUGCAGCUCUGAACUCCUCUCUGCCUCAUUUCUUUAACCCCGGGGUCAGAGCAUGCUGCUCCCUUUGCCCAUGGUUUCUCCUUUCCUGGUGCAGCGGAGUUCACACUAGCAAGUGUUCUGGUAGAUGGAAAGGUUGCCACUGCCCCACCUCUCCUGGGCCUCCCUCAUCUUAGCUGGGUUUCCCCCUUCUUCACAUUUUGCCCUUCCUAGUUAGUUGGAGUCUGGUUCCUAGGUAAUGCCAGCCAUAGCUGAGGGCCCAGGGGAGCAGGUGGCUGUGCAAAGCCACUUGCAGGCUGUGGACAAAGGGCUGAGAUGUGGAAAACCUACCAGUGCCCAUUCCGGCUUUGGCCUGGCUGGGGCAGCCUUGGGUCAAGUCCUCUCUGUAGUCCUGGUUUCCACCAACAUCAGGAAGGGGAGCUGCAAGAGCCAUCUAGGCAGGCACCCCAGGACUGUGCCAGGAAGACCUGGGUUAAGCCCUGCCUCCAUCAAUCUCAAGAUAUGGGACCUCAGGGAAGGGAGGGGAGGUACCGCCAAGGAUGUGUGCACCUGAGCUAUCACCUCAGUUCCUCAUCUGCAAGUCUUUGAUACCCUGGACUCAAAUGGUUUGGAGCUCGGGCUGGGCUCAGAGCGAUUCUUCAGUUAGGAAGUUAACAGCAGGACUGACUGAAGCAAGCUGCCAGAACUGCUGGGCCUGACAUUGUACCAUUUCAGUUUAGUUUCAUUUUCCUCCACAGCUGGCUCCUGCAAUAACCCUCUAGCUUUCAAACCAGUGUUUGUAAGUAUCUCUCCUAGUGGCGCUGAGCUUGGGCUGCAAGCUUGGGCAACCAAAACAGAGACUGAUCUCCCUGCCAUUGCAGAAUUAUAUCCUGGGAUUAACCAUGAAAGGGAAAAGAGAAGCAUUUCCAGUUGGGUGUUUGAAAAUGAAAAGUGGUUCAGAAGUGGCGUAGAUACGUAACUGCAAAACUAUGAUCUUUGAACCUCAUUAAUUUGGAACCUUAUAUCUAAACGUGUAAUUUGGACAUAAAUUGUGCUUAAAUUUGUCUUCAUACUAUUCAAAGUGAGGCUAACUACUGUAUGAAGACUGCAAAGGGACUCCUGGGCAUAAUCAUGUAAUUGUUUUAUACCGCUUCUACCAUUUUAAUCGUACCAUUUGCUUUUAACAGUUUACGUCUGGUCACUGAAACCUACAUUUAGCAACGUGGCCUCCAGAGGCCCAAACUAAUAGAAUUGGAGGAAAAAAACAAACAAAACAAAACAAAACAAAAAACUGGCCCGUCUAUGUGCUGUCAACACUGAUGCCACUCUUCCUCCAGGAGCCAGUUCUCCCUAUGGGGCAGUCAGGUUUGCACCUGGCUUUUGGGAAUCAGCAGUCCCCUCGACGGAGCAUCAGCUAACAGGCUGGGAACUCUUGCCAACAAGUUCUUAAACGGCUAACAAUUCUGCUAAGCGCUUGCAUGUAUCUAGCUGGUGCUCAAAGACCCAAGUAAAAACAUUAAACAGAGGUUUCUGCCCACUCCGCAGUCUAAGGCGAGAAGUCAUCUGUCCAAGGGGUGCCCUCGUGUUCGGACACCAUCUCUCCAUUGGGACAUAUCGGGAACCAGGUUGGGUUCUAUGCCCAGCAGUGCCCAUGUGGCUGGCGCCGUCUGCAUUUCAAGCAUUCCCUUGCUCCUCUCUGCACUCGGGAGGGCCCCGAAUCGCCGGCGGGCACCUAGAGUCAGAGCGCAGGAGGGUCCCCCGAACACAGGACAAGGACGAGGAGCGUCGGCCGCCUCCUCGGGGCGGACCCAGACUAUGUCCACGGGCCGAGCAGCACUGAGGCGGGUCGGCAAUCAGGCGGAGGGGGGUGCCAGGCCCGCCCGGGUGCCCGCACCUCUUGCCAGCCCCCGGAAG